rnacentral:lncRNA from 1 species
GUUCCAACCAGGAACACAUUCAAUCAAAGAUUGCAUAAGGAAGUAUCAAAAUAUAACACAUCCUAUAUUAUUACAUGUAUUCACAUUCAUAUACUUUUACAUCACAAUUCUCAUUUGAAUCUUACACUAGCUUUCACUUAUCUUCCAAAUACAAUCCGAUUUAACAUGAUAAUUACAAAUUAUUACAAUCUUAUUCCUUUCAUUUUCUUACAUCCCUAAGUAAAGCCGACUCAGGGUACCGCUAUCUCUGGUCUCGGUGGUAGGGCGCUAACUAUGAUGCUACGCCCUCGCCUCGCGCCGCCGCGCCGCUCACGUGUGAACCUGUAACACCCCAAAACCACGUGGGGUGAGAACCAACUCCAUGGUUCCCAGUGGGUACGGCCACCCAAGGGAAAAGCUCGACCAAUAGGUCCAAGGGAGGCAACUGCAAGUUAGUUCAAUAAACAGAUAGAUAUAUAUCUUGAUUAUGCAACGAAUAAAACCAUGCAUUGCCUCACGAAUGCAAUAAUGCAAUGCUAUAUGCAAAUCAUGCAAUAAUGCAACUAUGCAACCAACUAGUAGUUCAUUCGAUACUACUUUCAAUUCUGCUAACCAUAGCUCAUCCAUUUGAUAUCUAAGGUUUCCUCUAUCUUAGAUUCUUGUCAAUCACCGUUUUAAUCAUAAAGUUUCAUCUACCUUUACAAGGCUAACCACCCGACUCGGUCUUGAGUCAAUCGUCUGCGGAGUACCGCACUAGAACCAGGCUCGAGGCGAUGGACGUCUCACAUACACCUCAGCCCUAAAUCCUCUCGACUGGGAUACCAAAUCCAUAACUCAUAAUGCAUACUUGUUGUACAUUCAUUUGGCUAUGACCCAAUCUUACCGGUUAACCAUGUUAACCCCAAUAACUCACAACCAAAAUCCCUUAAUAACGGGGGACUCGAACCUCCCUGGGGACCGUCAUCUGGGGGGACUUUACCACGCCCAGUGGUGACCAACUCCGGAGCGCACCGCCCGAGGGGGAGCUACCUCCCUCAAGCCAAGACGUAACGUGAGUAUCGAUCCAAUCCUCAACUUGAGGAUUCAUAGCCACUCGUCACAAUGCCAUUGUCAUAAUAGGUUUUCUACCUAUUUAAUCAUGCCACUCUCUAUGUCAACUUGGACCAAUGUCAAUAUGGUUAAACUAUGUUUAACAACCACUUUCUUGAUGCCAAUCAUGUCUCUAUUUUCAUUGUCACCCUUGUUUACUAUUGUCCAAGUCCGACUUAUGUUCUUUAACAAUAGGUUUAAUGCCACACAUGAUUCCAACCUAAGUUCUUUGACACUAGGUUCAUGUCCAACCUAUGUUUAUUCACACUAGGUUCAUAUCAUCCAUGUUCAACCUAGGUUCCUGACUCUAGGUUAAGUGCCACUCGAUCUAAUAUAUAGAUGUCCAAUGUCAAGGUCUCUAUCAUAGAGUUAUCGAUCCAAUUCAUGCAAUCAUUUAGCAUUUACAUAGCAUAUUCAUCAUGCAUUCUACGAUAAUUAUUAUAUAGCAACCAUACCAAGCAUUUGCCUAGCUUUUACAUCAUGUCAUUUACAUGCAUUCUUUUAAUGUUAACUACAUGCAUCCUCUCAAUGCCAACAUACAUUACAACUAGCAUGUACUUUCCUAAUGCCUUAUUAUGCAAUUAUCCUGUAGUAUGCAUUUUCAUAAUGUCAAUAUGCUUAUUGUCAUCUAACAUGUGUCCACAUUUAGCAAUUUCUCAUAUAAUUAACAACAUGUUAACAUUCAUUUAUAUGCUCACGUUCUCUAAUGCAUGUCAACAUGAAUCUCAUAAUGCUAAAUACCCCUAGCAUGUAUUUCACUAAGCAUACAUACUAAUAUGCAAAUUACCAACUAGUAUGCAUUUAUACAAUGCUAAUAUGCCGUAUGCACAUACACAUAUGCAUCAACAAAAUUCCACAUUUCGCUUUGACAUGCGGGGUGACCAAGUCGCUUCGGUAAAAACAACCCACCUCAUUUCGCAUUCCGAUUGCUUGUCGACACUCGCAAUCGGCCUCCCGCGGCACCCGGCACCCGGUUUGGCCCGAUCUCUUGCGCGACCACCCGAACGGCCUCCAAUUCAUGAUCCGAAAAUUAAAGGUCUUUGGUUAUGUGCCACGAUGCCUCAAAUCCGUUUUCAUGAAUUUACGAUAUCGCCUCGGCCCUCCAGUCGAAAACGAACCCUAAACAUCCGUUUCUUUAGUAACUUCGCAACGGCUCGACGAAUCGCCGAACCGUCUUCGCCAACGCAUUCGUUUACCUAGCAAUUAGGUUUACAUAGGGUCAAAUGAGAUCAAACCCUCAUAUUUACCAAAUUAGUAUUUUUGAGCCCUAGAUUACAACUAGGUAAAAAUCCACCAUUAGAGCCUUGAUUUCAAGCAUCAAUCCUCUAAUUAGCAUGCUAGAAUACCUCUAAACCCAUUUCUAAAGUAUUUAAACCAACCAUUAAGGAUCUACCAUUAAAGGGUAGCAAAAGCUUACCUCUCAAUUAGCUCCAAACCAGGGAGAAGAUGAAGAAGAUGAAGGCGAUCCAUCUCCAAGCUUCAAUCUCCACCAAUUUCAUCAAUUUUGGGAGAGAAUUAGAGAGAGAAAAGAGAGGUUUCUCCUUUCCUUUCCAUGCGUGUGUUGUGUGUGUGCGUGCGGGUGUGUGCGGCUGAAGGAGGGGAAGAAGAAGCACAUGCUUCUUAUAUACAUUACACCCCAAAACACUAUUCACUUCAGGCAGUUUUUGCAGUUCGGAACAGUUGGAGCCCUUCUGAAUGUCCGUUUGAGCUCAAAUUUGACAGGCAGGCUCAGUUUAACGUACUGAGUAAGAAUAUAUUUUAAGUUUUCAGUUUCGACCCCAUUUGGUCACCGAAAACUGUGCCGAACUGUAAUCUUUAUCAGAUAACUCUCGGAUUUUAUUUCUCACUCUACGGGUGUCAGAAAAAUAUGAAACUUUAAAUCUAGCCUCAUAAAAAUAUUUCUGACUUAUCCUCCAAUUUUCAUAAUUUUCUGAGACUGUGCAUUUUCUGCUAAUUUAUCUGUCCCGUUUCCAACAGAAAAUUCUAAAUUUUCUGUUUUCAUUCCGAUUUCAGCACAAGUCAUUUCUGACUUAUGUUUUACUUCUACAAAUCCAAUAAAAAUAGUUUCUCACACUAUUUUUAUUUAUUUUUAUUUUUAUACCAAAAUCUGGUAUGUUGCAGUAGCGGUAUGGGCUUAACACUUGGACUAGGGAGGCAUGCGGAUUGGGUCUUGAGACAAAGAAUCCUAUAGUGGCAAAAAUGAUGAACUUGGACAUAGCCUAAUAGAGGGGCAUUUAACUAGUAUAGUAGAGAUACUAAACUUGAACGAGUGGCAUGUCAACUAGUUAGAAGAUAUUACUACAACGACUGAACGAGUGGCAUCGAGUCUAGUGUAGUAACCGUAACAUGGUUCUUGGGAUAGUAGAGGUCCCGGCAUCUAGGAUGCAUUGUAUAUUGUGCAGCAGAGGUACAUUGACCCUAAUAGAUAGGGUAUCAUCUUGAGAGGAUUGGAUCAUACUCACUAGUCUCUUUUCGCUUGUCGGUGGUCGCUCCACCGAGGCACGAGUCUCCGGAGUACUUCACUAGGGGCAUACGUAGUUGUCCCGCAGACGGUCUCGGUGUGCGAGUGUAGCUUCUCAUCACCUAUGAGAUUGAGAGUGAGUCGAAGGUUUAACCUACGGGUUAGCCAAGUAGAUUGGGUAAUAAACAUGGAAUGCAUAGUAGAUUUGCAUUAUUACCUUGAGUAGACAUAGUGUAUGUUGUAGAUUGUAUUGCUAUGUACUUUUAUAUACUCAUGACAUGAUACUAGCAUGAUAGUAGUUGUUGCAUGCAUUGUUAUCAUUGGUGGCAUGAUAGAGUAGUUGUAGUUUUUUCUUUAUAUAUCUAUCUAUCUCUCUAUCUGUGCCAGCUUAGACCGAGUGGAAAAACCGGCGGCGUCGGCGGCCGAACCCACUGGAAACUAUAUUUAUAUAGUUCUCAUCCCAUGUGGUUUUGGGGUACAGGUACACACAGGGGCGAGCCGAGCGAGGAUCGCGGUAAGGGCAUAGCGCCCUAAGUGAACUUAGUUAGUAGCUUUUCCUUAUGCAUAUAGAGUACCCUCGUGUACUAGAAGAUGUAUAAUUUGGAUAGAUAUCGGAGAGCUACUUAUAUUUUGAGAAGAACAUGUAAUUACAUUUUGGAAGAUGAAAAUGUAAUGUAAUCAAAUGAUGUAAAAAUUGAAUGGUUGUAAUAGUUAGACUACCUCUUUUUAUACACUUGUAUUUUACUUGUGGCUCUUGCUCUUAGCUAUAUUGCACUUGUGUGCAUAGUAUUGAUCAUGUAUGUUAUUUAAGCAAAUUCCUGGGCGCUUAAUUGUACUUGAUCAGGUUGUUUGGCCUUGGGCGGACAUGGGAGGUCCUGUCCGUUCGGCGGUCCGCUCGGCGCGCCCGAACGGCCCCAAAUUGGUAGUAGAUUCGGGGCGGGGCGUGACAAACCUAGUGGUGUAAUUUGCCGAGGCUGGCGGCUUACCCACUGGGAACUAUUGUUUAAUAGUUCUCAUGCCCCUUUGUUGUUGUUUUUAUAGAGCCAUCCACUGCGGGAGAGGCUAGGGAUCGCGGCAAGGGAGUCGCGUCUAGCUAGGCAUAGCGUGGAGUCCCACUAGGUGAUCACCUCGCCGCUUGAUUUUGGACUGUCGAGGGUGAUGUACACCAGUUUAUAGAGAGACUACCUUUGUAUAUAGUUUUUGAGGCAACCUUGUGAUAUAUAUGUUGGCCUAGAAUGUUGUAUUUAUAAUUAUGGCUUUCCUGCUUGUUGAGUUUUUGGGAUUUAGACUUACUCUUUUCUCGUUGAUAGUAUUGUUGGUUCAUACUUUGCUCUGAUAUCCUGUUAGAAUCUCUGCAAGAUCCUUCAUUUCUUGAACUUGGUUUUUGUAGACGUCUUAUAUACUAGAGGCAUAUGACGGGUCUGUGCACGUACCGGCUAUGCUUCCGUUGAUACCUGGGCAUGACAGAUUAUAGUGGUAUCAGAGCCUAGGGUUGAGUCUUAGUGGACCUAGCGAACCUUAGGCUGGUUCGACUAUAGGGAUAGGCACGUGAGAGACGAUGUCUAUUUAAUGUUAUAGCGAAAGUAUUUUGAUUGGGUAUCUUCUAAACUCCAAAUGGUUGGGGUUGAUUGAAAUGUACAACUACUAACUUUGCAGAGGGCCACGUUGGCGGCCGACAACGUGAUAUCGGAAGUUAGUAUGUGUCACAUUUCAUUAUUUUCGCAUGAUUGGGUGGUUUAUAAUAUUGAGUGGGGUUUCGAUAGUGUGAGGUUAAUAACUUACGCUUAUUCUGUUUAUUGCAGUUCAGUAUGCCUUCGACUCGUUCUAGGACUGCCGGAGCAGCUGAGGCGGCUGAUGUGGAAGAAGUGGAGACUUCCGUUACUUCCGGAUCUAGUGAGGUCCGUGAGUUGCAGGAUCAGCUUGCGAUGCUGACAAAUUUGGUGACUCAGCAGGCUGCGGCAGCGCGACAACAGAUGGAUGCUGCACGCCGACAGGAGGAAAGGAUGAAGCGGUUAGAGGAUUUAUUACUGCGGCAGACGACGGAUAGAGAGAUUCCCGAUCCUAUGCCGACAGUAUCAGAAAGGGACAUGAUAGUGAGGGCACAGUCACCAGUACCAGAUAUCUCACUAGCAGCUCCGAGGGUAGAGACCCGACAGGAGGCAGUAGUACCACCACCCGUGCAUGUGGCUGUGAUAGGGACAGUGUUACCUGAGAUGGUGGGGGUUGAGGAGCAAGAGUGAAUGAUGGAACGACUGAAUGAAUUUCGUUGUUGCAAUCCCCGUAUUUUCGAUAGUGAAAAAGCUGACCAUUGGGUAGUCAAGAAAUGGUUGAUGCAUAUGGAGAAGCUAUUCUAUGAUACUUUUGUUGAGGAGCAAUACCGAGUCUGGUUUGCGGCACACCAUUUGGAUGGCGAGGCCUACAGGUGGUGGAUGGACAUCCGUGAGGAUCCCGGUGCUGAUUUGUCUGCUAUUACAUGGAAAAGGUUCAAGGAAUUAUUGUUGACGACUUACUUUCCGCAAAGUGUAAAGAGGCAGAUGGAAAGGGAUCUACGAAAUUUGAGACAUGAAGGCAAGACAGUGGCAGAAUAUGAGCGAGAGUUCUCCCGAUUACUGCAUUGCGUUCCUUUUGUGGUUAGAGAUGAUGAGGACAAGGCUCGUAUUUUUGAGGUAGGGUUGCGACCUCCGAUCUUCAGGUUGGUUCAGGCGUCCAACCUAUCGACUUACAGGGAGGUAGUGAACCAGGCACUAAUUAUUAAAAAAGGGGCGGAAAUUAUGAAGGAAAGAGAGCUUGUGGAUCGAAGUAAAGCUAAAAGACCAGUGGCUGAGAGUAGUGGUCAGCAAUCCUUCAGGAGACCGCCGAAGUACCCGAGAGGCCAGUUGAGCCAGUCGAGGGGUCGAGGUUCUUCAGCACCCCAUGGAGUGCCCGAGCGUCGUCGACAGCCACGUUGUGUCAUCUGUGGUGGGCCUCACUUUCCGCCAUAGUGUCCACAACGUGGGGGCAAGUGUUUUUUCUGCGGUCAGGAGGGCCACUUUCGUUCAGAGUGCCUGAGAGGUUCUUCACCUGCACCGUCAUCAGCAUCAGCACCUGUAUCUUCAGCCCCGAGUCAGGGAACUCCGUCAGCACCGUAUCAGUUUAGGCGACCACCUAGACAGUGGCAAUCUGAGAGUUCUCGGCAGGGUUCGAGUGGACGUAUGUACGCCGCUCAGACAGAGGAGGCCGCAGCAGCAGAGGAGGUCGUAGCAGGUAUCAUUAUGAUUUAUAAUGUUCGUGUUCGUGCAUUAUUUGAUACUGGUGCUUCGCAUUUUUUAUUGACUGGCUGUUUGCCGAAUUGCAUAGCAUUCAGUUAGUACCUACUUUGCAUCCGGGACGAGUGAUUGUGCCCGACCAUACCCUGGAUGUUCGUGAGUUUUGCCCUCGCUGCCCUGUUCGGAUAGGCGACUGGAUUAUGCCGGAUUUGUUAGCACUACACAAACUAGGUGAGUUUGAUGUAGUAUUGGAUAUGGAUUGGUUGGCACAAUAUUAUGCCACCAUUGAUUGCAUGAACAGAACGGUGACCUUUAGGGAACCGGGUCAGUAGGAGUUUGUUUAUAAGGGGUGUUAGAGUUCAUUGUUUGCAAUGACAAUUAGCUCUUCGCGAGCACGACAGUUGAUACGGAGAGGUUGUGUGGCCUAUUUGGCUAGUAUUUCUGUGAAUGAUGGAGAAGCCGCCAAGAUUGAUGUUUUUCCGGUUGUGCGGGAAUUCGAGGAUGUGUUUCCAGCUGAGUUGCCUGGUAUGCCGCCUGAUAGGGAAGUUGAGUUUGUGGUAGACCUUGUCCCUGGGACUAUCCCAAUCUCAAAGGCACCCUAUAGGAUGGCCCCUGCCGAAUUGAAAGAGCUGAAGGCACAAUUGCAAGAUCUUUUAGAUAAGGGCUUCAUUCGACCGAGUGUGUCACCCUGGGGAGCACCGGUAUUGUUUGUUAAGAAGAAAGAUGGAUCUCUUCAAUUAUGUGUGGAUUAUCGAGAAAUUAACAAAGUCACCAUCAAGAAUAAAUAUCUAUUACCCAGAAUUGAUGAUUUAUUCGAUCAACUGCAAGGAUCGAAAGUAUAUUCCAAGAUUGAUUUGCAAUCAGGGUAUCAUCAGCUCAAGAUCAAGCUGAAGAUGUUUCCAAGACUGCUUUUAGGACACGGUAUGGGCAUUAUGAAUUCACAGUUAUGCCAUUUGGAUUGACAAAUGCCCCAGCAGCCUUUAUGGAUUUAAUGAACCGUGUCUUCAAGCCCUAUUUGGAUAGGUUUGUAGUCGUGUUCAUCGACGAUAUCUUGAUCUAUUCUUGAAGUGACGAGGAGCAUGAAAACCAUUUAAGAUUGGUGUUGCAAGUAUUGCAAGAAAAGAAACUGUUUGCAAAGUUAAAGAAAUACGAAUUUUGGCUUCGAGAAGUGGCAUUUCUGGAACAUGUAAUUUCAGAAGCCGGGAUAGCUGUGGAUCCAAAGAAGAUUGAAGCGGUUAAAGAUUGGCCUAGGCCGACCAGUGUUACAGAGAUUCGGAGUUUCCUUGGUUUGGCGGGAUACUACCGAAGGUUUAUAGAAGGGUUUGCGAAAAUGUCUACUCCUCUCACUCGACUCACACAUAAAGGAGCUAAGUUUCUGUGGAAUGAGGCCUGUGAAAGAAGCUUUCAAGAGCUAAAGGAACGGCUGACCACCGCCCCGAUUCUAGCACUACCUGUUACUGGGGUGGAUUAUGUGAUUUACAGUGAUGCGUCACUGAAUGGAUUGAGGUGUGUUCUAAUGCAGACUGGCAGAGUAAUUGCUUAUGCAUCUCGCCAAUUAAAGGAUUAUGAAAAAAGCUACCCUACGCAUAAUCUCGGAUUGGCUGCUGUAGUCUUUGCUUUAAAGCUUUGGCGCCACUACCUCUAUGGCGAGUAUUGCGAGGUUUACACAGAUCAUAAAAGCUUAAAGUAUCUGUUUACUCAGAAGGAAUUAAACUUGAGACAACGCAGAUGGUUGGAGUUGCUCAAGGAUUAUGAUUUGACUAUUCUCUAUCACCCAAGAAAAGCUAACGUUGUAGCAGAUGCUUUAAGUCGAAAAUUGACGAAAAAUUUGGCGAUGUCGACAACCGCGCAACCACUUUUGGUAAAGGAAAUGGAACAGUUGAAUUUGGAAGUAGUGGCUCCUGACACUCCUUGGCGACUUAUGUCAUUGGUUGUACAAUCUACCCUGAUUGAUCGAAUUAAAAAAAAGCAAGCUCAAGAUGAAUUUUUGCAAAAAAUUCGAGCAAAGAUCAUUGUUUAUUAUGUUUGUGACUUUCGAGUGGAUGAUCAGGGGCUGUUAAAAUUCUGCAACCGACUUUGUGUACUAACAGACUCAGAUAUUAAAGAGAAAAUUUUAAAAGAAGCACAUCGGGCACCGUAUACUUUACAUUCUGGAAGUACGAAAAUGUAUAAAAAUUUGAAGUCGACUUAUUGGUGGCCUAGAAUGAAAAAGAAGGUUGCAGACUUCGUAGUUAAGUGCUUAACCUGUCAACAGGUUAAAGCUGAGCAUCGACUUCCAGUAGGAAAGCUUCAGAGUUUACCCAUACCCGUGUGGAAGUGGGAGAGGAUUACUAUGGAUUUUAUUGUUGGAUUACCUCGCUCACAAGCAGGCCAUGAUGCGAUUUGGGUGAUUGUGGACAGAUUGACCAAAUCUGCCCACUUUAUUCCGAUUCAUACGGUUUGAUCAGGAGAGAGACUCGCACAAGUGUACCUUGAUGAAAUUGUGUGAUUACACGGAGUACCUGCCUCUAUUGUUUCAGAUCGCGAUACCCGAUUUGUAUCACAUUUCUGGAGGAAUUUAUAGGAUGCUUUGGAUACGCGGUUGGAUUUAGUACUGCUUUCCACCCCUAGAGUGACGGGCAGUCUGAGCGUACCAUCCAAACCCUUAAGGAUAUGUUGCGGGCCUGUGUGAUUGAUUUCCAGGGCAGUUGGCCAUAGUUCCUACCUAUGGCAGAAUUUGCUUAUAACAAUAGUUAUCAAGCGAGUAUUCAAAUGGCUGCGUCCUCACCCAACGUGUCUUCAACACUUCCAUUUUCCCCGUCCUCCUAGGGGCUGUUCCCUCUAUCCCUUGACUGGUUAUACCCGUUAUUUGGGUCGACGUGUGGAGGUGCAAGUGGACCUUGAUUCGCUUCAUCGACCGCCCUCUCCCAGCUCUCGAGAUGUACUAUUAUUGAGAAAACUUCCUCCCUAAGCACGAUGGAGAGGUUCUGUGGGAUGUCGGUGAGAGAAUCAAGGGUGAUCUGGCAUCUGAAAACUCGGAGGUUCGUCACCGCCUUGGUGGUCGCAUCCGCCUUCUCAAACCGUCCGAAUCGACUCACCAAGGCCGCCACUCUGGCCACCGUCCAGCACUCGAAUGGCAAAUUGAUCAGCCUGAUCCAAGCACAGAAGGUUACUCUGUGGGGUCUUGCGUUGCUGCAUUGUCCCCAAGGGUAACAUCUGAUCCAAAAGUCCUCGAAGGUGAGCACUUUUCUUCUAACAAGCACCGCCGCAGAGACCCACUCCGGUAAGAAGAUCGCAUAAUCGCUCUCUCUAAAUCGCGCGACAGCGAAGUCCUGGCUGUACCCCCUUUACCAGCGAGCUAAUGCGCUCGCAAUGGUGCGGGUAGAGUUCAGUCCAAGAUUUGCUGGCUGGAUCACGUCCGUGAGGACUGCGUUACGUCGCAGCUCUCUUCUGCGAGAGUAUUCCUCUGUAUACAGCACGUACACCUUCGCUGGCUGAGUGCGCCCCUGCUGGCGGUAAGCUUUGUUCAUCUUGUCACUGGCCCUAAGAACUUUACUCUUGCAGGUGGAAGCUUGAUGUCCAAGCUUUCGGCAGCUUAGACACCUGGCAGGGUCGCGGCACUCAGCGAUCCUGUUAUUCGAAGCUAAACACCUGAAGCAUCUCCUUGCAAGACUCCCGCUGAGAAGUCUCUGAGGAAAUAGGCAAGCGUUGUUAAGAUUAUGCUGAGAGUUGCAAUAGAGAGGGGGUGGUGAUGGUUUCCUUAGCAGCGCUUCCUUAUAGGACCCAAUGGGUGGGCUGAGGGAGUUAAUACGCCCUCCCUCUGGUUUGCUAUAAACCCCCCCUUGGAACCUAAGGAAGUAGACCUAACCCUGCCUUGUUGAGACGGAGCAUUAACACCAGUCCUCUGGACGCCUUUCAAGCUCUUACCAAAGCCAAGUAUAGUCACUGCGUCUUCAGCAUAAAUGCUUUUGGAUUCCACUAACGCUCUACCUACCUCAUCCGCCCAGGCCACGUGUUUCACUACAUUCUUCUUCCUCGGAUCGUCUCUUUUCUUGGAUUGGACCUCAAAUCUUGGAGUAAUGCGGCCAUCAUCUCCAUCGUGCUUUUUCCCCAUCGUUUUUUGCUGGGAAGAAGUGGUGAGCUGUUGCUCCAAAUCCUGCAUCUUCUUCUUCCUCUCCAAGGAGUCCUUAUCCUCCUCCACCACGGGAGGCUUCGCCCCGCCCCAGUUGUUCGCCACCGACUGCUUUAGCUCCUUGAAUAUCCGGAGCAAGUCCCUUCCACCCUUCAUGUGGUGCACCGCCUCCUGCGGUGGCAGGGUUCGCGCCGCCCCGUCCAUCACCCUCUUGGGCACCUCCAGGAAUGUACGGAGCUCCUCGCCCCACCCAAUUGCGGGGUGCGCGGCGAGCCGCCGAAGGUAGCGCUUGAGCAAGGCACGGCGCCACUAUCGGCUGGCGACGAGGUAGUUGACGCAGACCCCGCUCGCGUCCUGCUUCUUCUGCGGCUUGGAGACAGCGAUCGGGACGUAAUCGACGGGCGCUACGGCGAUAUCCGCGGCGGGGCCUUAGGAUUGGAAGGGGCUGGGGACGACAUCGACGUAGGAAGGGGGUGAGGAGGGGGAGACAGGGUAUGGGGGAAGCGGAGGGAGCGAGUGAGCGGGAUCGACGCCUCCAUCAGCGUUGCCGGAGAAGGAGGAGAUAUUACUGCGGUAAUCAGAGAGGGCUAGGGUUUCUAUGCUCCGUAGGAGUCGAAAUCGACCUUUAAAACCCUAAAAUCUCCCCAAAUUUGCCCUUAGAGAAUUUUAUCAUGUCGUAGACGUAUGAAAUAUUAUUGGAGUAAAUUUUAUAUAAGCAAAGAAAAAACACAAGUAAUGUGAAGUUUGCAUGUAAUGGUUCAUCCUAAAUUGUUAUAAUUGAAUUUGUACGAACAAAAUUUAACAUUUAAGUUUCGUAUAUUAACUCUAGUUGUUGAUGAUUAUUGGGCCGUUGCCGUAGAGUUAAAUCCUAUCCUCACCCUUACAUGUGAAAUGAGUAAAAUUAAAGAAUGUUCUGCAUCGUAAGUUAAUCAAACAGAGGAUUUUUCACGAAUAAUCCAUGCAAGAACACACUCCCUCUCUGAAAUGAUGGAAUUUGUUGUUAUCUCUAAUUGUAAUUUCUCGCUCAUAGACCGUAGAUACAACCUUCAUGAACGAGUGACAAUCAACGCAAAUCCUCAGGUUCUUCAUGAUGUGAACAGGUAACCAGGGACUCGUGCUGAUAAGCCCGAAUGCUAUAGCUAUACUCUCGCUGUGAAGACUCAGAAGAUCUUCUGUAGUACCCUGAACUUUGGCCAAUUGCGAAGUUCGAGUGUUGGAAUAGCAAUUGGAGCUAUCUUACAACUUUUGAGGGAUUGUCGAGAGGUUUUUGGCAAGUUACUUGAGCAAUCAAAUGGCCGGGAGAGCGAAAGUGCAUUGCAAAAUGCGAAAUGCUGAUUUUACACUGAGUACCGGUACAACUUUUGAGGGAUUGUCGAGAGGUUUUUGGCAAGUUACUUGAGCAAUCAAAUGGCCGGGAGAGCGAAAGUGCAUUGCAAAAUGCGAAAUGCUGAUUUUACACUGAGUACCGGUACAACUUUUGAGGGAUUGUCGAGAGGUUUUUGGCAAGUUACUUGAGCAAUCAAAUGGCCGGGAGAGCGAAAGUGCAUUGCAAAAUGCGAAAUGCUGAUUUUACACUGAGUACCGGUACAACUUUUGAGGGAUUGUCGAGAGGUUUUUGGCAAGUUACUUGAGCAAUCAAAUGGCCGGGAGAGCGAAAGUGCAUUGCAAAAUGCGAAAUGCUGAUUUUACACUGAGUACUGAUACCCCUCUACCUGAGUACCGGUACCCAGUGCAGCAGGUUGGAGUUGGUGCGGGUUUUAUGGUAAUUUCACUCCAAAGGCUAUCCUCUAAAGCCUCAGCUCAAUCUUAUCUGAGGCUUCUUGUGCUGAAGCGUGCAGGGAAGCAGGGUAAGUCUCUCUCUUUCUCUCUCUAAGAUUUUUUUUCAUUAUUUGAGUGGAAAUUGAUGGAUUUGAGGUUUUUCUCUCUUUUCCUUGUUAUGUUAGCUGGUUGGGAGCUUCUUGAUGUUAUGAGAACAUGUGAGAAGACUUGUUUUGUUGUGUUUCUCAGUUCUAACUUAGCGAGAAGCUAAGUUGAAGCUUUGUGAGGUAAGAAAGACAAUCUCUCUCUAGUUUGAUGCUAUAGUAGUAGAGUUUCAGCUUGUUGUUGCUCUUUGCUGCCAGUUGGUUGGGGAAGGUUUGUAGUAGCUGUAGAAGAGGUAUUUUGGGCUGUGGUUCUUCACUCCUAACUUAGUCGAACCUGAGUUGAAGCUGUACAAGGUGAAUUAGCGACUCCUCUUUCUAGCUUUCAUGUAUAGUAGGUGUAAUGAUAAAGUUUUGGGGUUAGCUCGCAGCAGGUGUGCGAACCACCUUGGCUGAGUUUUAGUGGCCCUUGUAGACUGGUUUUGAAGUUCUUCAACUUGAGUUGGAGCCGUGCAAGGUGAGCAACCUAACUUUUUGCUAGUUUGAAAAGAUUGGUGGAGUAUUAAUAAAGUUUAUGGUGUAUGUUUACAGCAGAAUUUGCAGCAGGGUAUUAGAUUUCAUGUGGCUGAGUCUUGGGAGCUUUCGAAGGCUGGUUUCCGUAUUCCAAUGUGAACCGAAGUGAGGAAUUAAGCCUUGAUACUAUACUAGGUGAGAUUCUAGCCUAAACUAUGUAAAUAUGUGAGGUUUUUAUGUAGAAGUUUGAGUUAAGCUCCUAGCUGAUUUUAGAAUCAUUACUAGGGUGCUUCGAGGCUUCGGAUUACCUUCGGUUGCAAAAUCAACGAGAAUCGUCGACUAAUUGGUGGGUUUGACCUUCCCGAAAUGGGUGAAUUCCUUCUAUGUCUUCUUUGACAUUAUGAAAGAAGAAUGGUUAUAUAUUCUUGAGAAUAUAGGCUUGAAUGAAUAUGUGUAUGCAUGAAACCUGUUUACUAGUUAUGAUUGAAUGAAAUCUCUAUGCAGUAGAGGAAAAAGGAUUUUGGAACUAACAUUUUCCAUGUGUAUUAUCUCAGAUUAGUAAAACUUGUGUAGACAAGUUAAACAUGGUAUCAUUGAUUGAGAAUCAAGACGAAGCUAUGAAUAGAACACUUACUGUAGUUUAACAACUAAGUGGAGAAUGGUUAUGAUAUUUAACCCUUGAGUCAUAUUGUCACGCCCUGCGACCGCCCGCCUAUUUGGCCGGGUCGCGGCGCCGCAACAGACCGCCGAACGGACAGGGUUUUCCCUGUACUGCGGACAGAGUCUCCCCUGUACGUUCAAGGCAUAGCAAUCAAUACAAUGUGCGAAGUUCCAACCAGGAACACAUUUCAAUCAAGAUUGCAUAAUGGAAGGUAUCAAACAACAUAACACAUCCUAUGUUAUUACAUGCAUUCACAUUCAUACAUAUUUACAUCACAAUUCUCAUUUGAUUCUUACAUUUGCUUUUACUUAACUUCCAAAUACAAUCCGAUUUAACAUGAUUAUUACAACUUGAUUCCUUUCAUUCUUUACAUCCCUAAGUAACCGACUCAGGGUACCGCUAUCUCUGGUCUCGGUGGUAGGGCGCUAACUAUGAUGCUAUGCCCUCGCCUCGCGCUGCCGCGCUGCUCACGUGUGAACCUGUAACACCCCAAAACAACAUGGGGUGAGAACCAACUCUAUGGUUCUCAGUGGGUACGGCCACCCAAGGGAAGAGCUCGACCAAUAGGUCCAAAAGAGGCAACAACAGGUUAGUUCAAUAAACAGAUAGAUAUAUAUCUUGAUUAUGCAACUAAUAAAACCAUGCUUUGCCUCACGAAUGCAAUAAUGCCAUGCUAUAUGCGAAUCAUGCAACUAUACAAUAGAAUAAAUGAUUUAACUUUCUAUCAUGCUAUCUAUAGCUUUUUCAUAAUUUAUACAUCUUGUCACUUUACAUCGUUGGUUAUUUGCUCCUAAACUUUUUCUCUACCUUAGCCAAGCUAACCACCCGACUCGGUCUCGAGUCAUCAUUUGCGGAAUACCGCAUACAUCCAGGCUCCUAAUGCAUACUUUCACAAAUUCACUUUGGCCUUUACCCAAUCUUUUCGGGGUUCAUCAAGUUCCCCCUAAGCUCACAUCUCACAUGUCCCAUCUACCGGGAUUAGCAUUAGGAAAUGCCCCGAGGGAUCCAUCCCGUCUACCGAGGAAGGCACAAGGCACUGUCACCCGAGGGAUCUUCGCCGGGCACUGUCACCCAUGGUGUCUAUACUCCGGAGUACACCGCCUGUAGAGGAGCGACCUCGCACAAGCCGGAACCGAUACAUGUGAGUACGAUCCCAUCCUCAAUUUGAGGAGGUAUAGCCAACUUGUUCCAUAUC